ensembl:lncRNA
AUGCGCGUGCGCACGAGUCGCAGCCGAGCAGCUGCGCACGCUUAUCCUAACGGGCGACCUCUGAAAACCCAAGUGUUUCGCUGCUAAGAAGCCGACCACAUGUCAAAAGUGUCGAGUCACCCCCGAGAGCAGCCCUUGACCCGGGAACGCCUGCGUCACGCUGGACUACACGCCGUGCGUUUUCCAGAGAGCCAAUUAGGAUCGAGAAGGUGUAAAGGGAUUUCCACCAGGCUGGGAGACGUUAAUGAGAUCAUCUCACGAGAGCGAUGCAGCGGCGCCCGAGGGCCUUUCCCCAGCGCAGGCCAGAGAGCUGCUUUUGCUUCCGAAAGAUGUUCUCAAGAGAUUUGAUGCAAGCAAGCAAGAGAACAAAGAACCUCUCCAGCUCUCAGCACACCGGUGGGUUCUCACUCGCACUUUCCUCUGUGCCUUCCAGCAGCUGCAGUCAGCUGGUCUGACUAGCGCCCUCUGUGAGAGGCAGGCACUAAAUGUUUCUGCAGAACACAUGGCAGAGACAGUGGUGCAAACCCCCCCUCCGAGGAACAGCUGCUCCGCCAUCAAUCACACUUACACCACCGACAUGGGAUGAGCAACUUAUGUUACUGUUUCCAGAACCAUUCGCUAUGAGGCUUCGACAAGGUCUUUCAUUUUCUUAAAAUAACAACAAUAAGUGAAUUUGAAUUUGUCGGCGCUACAAACAUGCAAAAUGUGAAUACAAUGUUCUUGCUUGCAUCUAAUGUAAAUUUAAGCUUUUGUCACAAACAGAUCCCACUGCUCACACUGAUAAUGCUUCUGUGUGCGUGUGUGUGCCCGCUGUCAACAAGUUAACCACAAAUCAAGCAGCCAACCAAACAACAGCAUAAAACAGAGUGCAGGAUGUGUGACUUGGGGUCAAUCGCCAAGGCAGUGUCGGUAGAUCGCCUGCCAAUGCAAAAAAAAUUCACUCAUGCACAGUCGACCGCGGGAGAGCUAACGGAAAGCUAAUGCUAAUUAGCGAUCUCUGCUUACUAACUCACACAUUUAAUUUCAUUCCAAAGCAACCCUGAC